AGGGCAUCACCUUUACCUUCGCACACAAGUUUGGAGCCCAAAAUUUCGUCCCCAAAACUCUCAUCAAGCACAUAGAUCCUAAAAUUCCUCUAGAGUAUUCUCUAAGUCUUCCCAAUUAAAAUUUAAAUUUCAAAACUCUAAAUCUUAAAAAACCAAAAACAAAUAAAACAAUCCAAAAAACUCCAAAAAUACACUAUUACAUUGAAAUUUCUGCACUGUCAGUUAAGAAUCUGAGUUCCUGGUGACCUUGAGUUCAAUUUCAAGCCGUUUUUGAAUUUAUUCAAGCUAUUUUCGUUUGUUUUAGUUGAUGAGGUUUCAGAGGUAUUUCUGGAUUUGAUUUCGAAGUCACGGGGGUUUUGUUCAAGCUGAUUUCGACUGUUUUGUUGGCAUCUGUUUUGUUUGGAAUUAUCCUUCUACUGUUGAACUCGUUUCUGGGCUGAACUUGUUGUGUUUCCUGCUGUUAGAAAAUUAUUCUGCUCGAAUCUACUUUUAUUGAUGAUCGUCUUCUUAUUCUUCUUGUAUUUCGACAUCCAUGUACACAUCUCAAGACUCCCUUGAUGUAGCUUCAUCUGUUGAGAUGUGAAAUGAAAUUAA
rnacentral:lncRNA from 1 species